rnacentral:rRNA from 1 species
AUUGAACGCUGGCGGCAGGCCUAACACAUGCAAGUCGAGCGGAUGAAGGGAGCUUGCUCCUGGAUUCAGCGGCGGACGGGUGAGUAAUGCCUAGGAAUCUGCCUGGUAGUGGGGGAUAACGUCCGGAAACGGGCGCUAAUACCGCAUACGUCCUGAGGGAGAAAGUGGGGGAUCUUCGGACCUCACGCUAUCAGAUGAGCCUAGGUCGGAUUAGCUAGUUGGUGGGGUAAAGGCCUACCAAGGCGACGAUCCGUAACUGGUCUGAGAGGAUGAUCAGUCACACUGGAACUGAGAAACGGUCCAGACGCCUACGGGGGGCAGCAGUGGGGAAUAUUGGACAAUGGGCGAAAGCCUGAACCAGCCAUGCCGCGUGUGUGAAGAAGGUCUUCGGAUUGUAAAGCACUUUAAGUUGGGAGGAAGGGCAGUAAGUUAAUACCUUGCUGUUUUGACGUUACCAACAGAAAGAGCAGCGGCGGACUGCGU